UACGGGGGGGGCAAGCGUUGUUCGGAAUUACUGGGCGUAAAGGGCUCGUAGGCGGCCAACUAAGUCCGACGUGAAAUCCCAAGGCUUAACCUUGGAACUGCGUCGGAUACUGGAUGGCUUGAAUUCGGGAGAGGGAUGUGGAAUUCCAGGUGUAGCGGUGAAAUGCGUAGAUAUUGGGAGGAACACCAGUGGCGAAGGCGGCUCACUGGACCGGAACUGACGCUGAGGCGCGAAAGCGUGGGGAGCAAACAGG
rnacentral:rRNA from 1 species